rnacentral:rRNA from 1 species
UACGGAAGGGGCAGGCGUUGUUCGGAAUCAUUGGGCGUAAAGGGCGCGUAGGUGGUUCUGUAUGUCUACCGUGAAAGCAUACAGCUCAACUGUAUUUUGUCGGUAGAAACUGCAGGACUUGAGGCUGGGAGGGGCUGGUGGAAUUCCCUGUGUAGCGGUGAAAUGCGUAGAGAUGGGGGAGAACACUCGUGGCGAAGGCGGCCAGCUAGACCAGUUCUGACACUGAGGCGCGACAGCGUGGGGAGCAAACAGG